UGGGGAAUAUUGGACAAUGGGCGGAAGCCUGAUCCAGCAACGCCGCGUGAGGGAUGACGGCCUUCGGGUUGUAAACCUCUUUCAGUACCGACGAAGCGAAAGUGACGGUAGGUACAGAAGAAGGACCGGCCAACUACGUGCCAGCAGCCGCGGUAAUACGUAGGGUCCGAGCGUUGUCCGGAAUUAUUGGGCGUAAAGGGCUCGUAGGCGGUUUGUCGCGUCGGGAGUGAAAACAGCGGGCUUAACUCGUUGCUUGCUUUCGAUACGGGGCAGACUAGAGGUAUGCAGGGGAGAAUGGAAUUCCUGGUGUAGCGGUGAAAUGCGCAGAUAUCAGGAGGAACACCGGUGGCGAAGGCGGUUCUCUGGGCAUUACCUGACGCUGAGGAGCGAAAGUGUGGGGAGCGAACAGGAUUAGAUACCCUGGUAGUCCACACCGUAAACGUUGGGCGCUAGGUGUGGGGUCCUUUCCACGGAUUCCGUGCCGUAGCUAACGCAUUAAGCGCCCCGCC
rnacentral:rRNA from 1 species